CAGCACAGGGAAGCUUGCUUCUCGGGUGGCGAGUGGCGAACGGGUGAGUAACAUAUCGGAACGUACCGGGUAGCGGGGGAUAACUGAUCGAAAGAUCAGCUAAUACCGCAUACGUCUUGAGAGGGAAAGCAGGGGACCUUCGGGCCUUGCGCUAUCCGAGCGGCCGAUAUCUGAUUAGCUGGUUGGCGGGGUAAAGGCCCACCAAGGCGACGAUCAGUAGCGGGUCUGAGAGGAUGAUCCGCCACACUGGGACUGAGACACGGCCCAGACUCCUACGGGAGGCAGCAGUGGGGAAUUUUGGACAAUGGGCGCAAGCCUGAUCCAGCCAUGCCGCGUGUCUGAAGAAGGCCUUCGGGUUGUAAAGGACUUUUGUCAGGGAAGAAAAGGCCGUUGCCAAUAUCGGCGGCCGAUGACGGUACCUGAAGAAUAAGCACCGGCUAACUACGUGCCAGCAGCCGCGGUAAUACGUAGGGUGCGAGCGUUAAUCGGAAUUACUGGGCGUAAAGCGGGCGCAGACGGUUACUUAAGCAGGAUGUGAAAUCCCCGGGCUCAACCCGGGAACUGCGUUCUGAACUGGGUGACUCGAGUGUGUCAGAGGGAGGUGGAAUUCCACGUGUAGCAGUGAAAUGCGUAGAGAUGUGGAGGAAUACCGAUGGCGAAGGCAGCCUCCUGGGAUAACACUGACGUUCAUGUCCGAAAGCGUGGGUAGCAAACAGGAUUAGAUACCCUGGUAGUCCACGCCCUAAACGAUGUCAAUUAGCUGUUGGGCAACUUGAUUGCUUGGUAGCGUAGCUAACGCGUGAAAUUGACCGCCUGGGGAGUACGGUCGCAAGAUUAAAACUCAAAGGAAUUGACGGGGACCCGCACAAGCGGUGGAUGAUGUGGAUUAAUUCGAUGCAACGCGAAGAACCUUACCUGGUUUUGACAUGUGCGGAAUCCUCCGGAGACGGAGGAGUGCCUUCGGGAGCCGUAACACAGGUGCUGCAUGGCUGUCGUCAGCUCGUGUCGUGAGAUGUUGGGUUAAGUCCCGCAACGAGCGCAACCCUUGUCAUUAGUUGCCAUCAUUCGGUUGGGCACUCUAAUGAGACUGCCGGUGACAAGCCGGAGGAAGGUGGGGAUGACGUCAAGUCCUCAUGGCCCUUAUGACCAGGGCUUCACACGUCAUACAAUGGUCGGUACAGAGGGUAGCCAAGCCGCGAGGCGGAGCCAAUCUCACAAAACCGAUCGUAGUCCGGAUUGCACUCUGCAACUCGAGUGCAUGAAGUCGGAAUCGCUAGUAAUCGCAGGUCAGCAUACUGCGGUGAAUACGUUCCCGGGUCUUGUACACACCGCCCGUCACACCAUGGGAGUGGGGG
rnacentral:rRNA from 1 species